UUGACCUCAAAUCAGGUAGGACUACCCGCUGAACUUAAGCAUAUCAAUAAGCGGAGGAAAAGAAACUAACAAGGAUUCCCUUAGUAACUGCGAGUGAAGAGGGAAAAGCUCAAAUUUAAAAUCUGGCGGUCAUUUGGCUGUCCGAGUUGUAAUCUAGAGAAGUGUUGCCCGUGCUGGACCAUGUACAAGUCUCCUGGAAUGGAGCAUCAUAGAGGGUGAGAAUCCUGUCUUUGACAUGGACUCCCAGUGCUUUUGUGGUAUGCUCUCAAAGAGUCGAGUUGUUUGGGAAUGCAGCUCAAAAUGGGUGGUAAAUGCCAUCUAAAGCUAAAUAUUGGCGAGAGACCGAUAGUGAACAAGUACCGUGAGGGAAAGAUGAAAAGAACUUUGGAAAGAGAGUUAAACAGUACGUGAAAUUG
rnacentral:rRNA from 1 species